rnacentral:lncRNA from 1 species
UAAAGCAAGAAUAAAUACAAGAACAAGCACAACACAAACAAGACAAUGUAUAGUGGUUCGGUACACCUCAAGCACCUACGUCCACUCUCCAAGCCUUUUCUUGGGAAUUCACUAUAAUCCCUCGGAUUACAGUUGGAUUGUUUUCCGGGCUAACAAUCCAAAACUUUUACAAUUUGGUUUUUCGGGAUCACCAAUAACCUAUGUUGGUUUUGCGGGCUCUCCAACAACCUAACAUUGGUUUUGCGGGCUUACCAACAACCUACGUUGGUUUUACGGGCUCUCCAACAACCUACGUUGGUUUUACGGGCUUACCAACAACCUAUGUUGGUUUUGCGGGCUCACCAACAAUCUAACAUUGGUUUUGCGUGAAGGGUUCUAGCAUGUUAUAAUGCGUAGCGGAAGCUAGGGAUUUUAAAAAUUUUCUUAAUAAAGUCCCUAUGCAUGAAACCCUUUUAAGCCUAGAUCACCUUAAUGAUUACAAUCAAAUGAUAUAAUAUAAACGCAGAAUUAGUAGAAUACCUCAAACGCUAAUUCAAAGUGUACAAUCCCCACGAGGCGUCCAAGUGUUCGCCCUCCAAUGGUGAUCCACAGGAAAACUUGAUUCAAGUCUUAAGCUCCAAGGACUUUGAUCCUUAAUGCAGAAUUCUUCUAAAGAACUCUAAUGGCUUGCUUUUCUUCCUUUCUAUUUUUCUUUUUCCUUCUAAAAACACUUCUAACCUUUUUGUCCUAAAGAAGACCUUCUUGUCUAGGAUUAGGAC